GGUGUGAUAGUUAAGCACUGGGCUGCUAACCCAAAGGUUGGUGGUUCGAACCCACCCAGCACCU
rnacentral:tRNA from 1 species